rnacentral:rRNA from 1 species
AUAUCAAUAAGCGGAGGAAAAGAAACCAACAGGGAUUGCCUUAGUAACGGCGAGUGAAGCGGCAAAAGCUCAAAUUUGAAAUCUGGCACUUUCAGUGUCCGAGUUGUAAUUUGAAGAAGGUAACUUUGGAGUUGGCCCUUGUCUAUGUUCCUUGGAACAGGACGUCACAGAGGGUGAGAAUCCCGUGCGAUGAGGUGUCCAAUUCUAUGUAAAGUGCUUUCGAAGAGUCGAGUUGUUUGGGAAUGCAGCUCUAAGUGGGUGGUAAAUUCCAUCUAAAGCUAAAUAUUGGCGAGAGACCGAUAGCGAACAAGUACAGUGAUGGAAAGAUGAAAAGAACUUUGAAAAGAGAGUGAAAAAGUACGUGAAAUUGUUGAAAGGGAAGGGCUUGAGAUCAGACUCGGUAUUUUGCAAGCCUAUCCUUCGUGGAGAGGUUUAUUAGCAGCUUACCGGGCCAGCAUCGGUUUGGAUGGUAGGAUAAUGGCAUUGGAAUGUGGCUCUUCGGAGUGUUAUAGCCUUUGUUGAUACUGCCUAUCUAGACCGAGGACUGCGUCUUUGACUAGGAUGCUGGCGUAAUG